rnacentral:tRNA from 1 species
UUUAUAUAGUUUAAAAAAAACAUUACAUUUUCAUUGUAAAAAAAAAAAAAUUUUUUUAUAAAUA